UGUGCUUGAAGAUCAUUAUUCACCAAGUUUUCUGGAAUUGAUUGAGAGCUACGCGAAUCUGAUUUUCUUGUUUGUGAAAUGACGAUUUAAUUUCGUCUUUGUCCGUGCAACCUCCCUUUUUUACAGGAAAUUAUUAAACGAUGUCAUGCGAUGUUCAUGAUCACUGAUCAAUAAUAUUUCAUCGAACUUAAUGUUAAGAAAUGAUGACAAAACAGCAUAUAAGACAAACAUUUUGUUAGUAAGGUGAAAUAUAUAUUUAUUUUGCAUAUUUUAUCUGUUUUGAUAGAUAUUUUUUUUCUUUUUUUUUCCGACCGACC
rnacentral:lncRNA from 1 species